rnacentral:rRNA from 1 species
UACGUAGGGUGCGAGCGUUAAUCGGAAUUACUGGGCGUAAAGCGUGCGCAGGCGGCUUUGCAAGACAGAUGUGAAAUCCCCGGGCUCAACCUGGGAACUGCAUUUGUGACUGCAAGGCUAGAGUACGGCAGAGGGGGAUGGAAUUGCGCGUGUAGCAGUGAAAUGCGUAGAUAUGCGGAGGAACACCAAUGGCGAAGGCAAUCCCCUGGGCCUGUACUGACGCUCAUGCACGAAAGCGUGGGGAGCAAACAGG